rnacentral:rRNA from 1 species
CCCAAGAGUUCACAUCGACGGGGAGGUUUGGCACCUCGAUGUCGGCUCAUCGCAUCCUGGGGCUGUAGUCGGUCCCAAGGGUUGGGCUGUUCGCCCAUUAAAGCGGUACGCGAGCUGGGUUCAGAACGUCGUGAGACAGUUCGGUCCCUAUCCGUCGUGGGCGUAGGAAAUUUGAGAGGAGCUGUCCUUAGUACGAGAGGACCGGGAUGGACAUACCUCUGGUGUACCAGUUGUCGUGCCAACGGCAUAGCUGGGUAGCUAUGUGUGGACGGGAUAAGUGCUGAAAGCAUCUAAGCAUGAAGCCCCCCUCAAGAUGAGAUUUCCCAACUUCGGUUAUAAGAUUCCUCAAAGAUGAUGAGGUUAAUAGGUUCGAGGUGGAAGCAUGGUGACAUGUGGAGCUGACGAAUACUAAUCGAUCGAAGACUUAAUCAAAA